rnacentral:tRNA from 1 species
GUUGUGGCUCAGUGGUAGAGCGCUUGCCUAGCAUGUGCGAGGCGCUGAGUUCGAUCCUUAGCACCACA